GUGAAUUUAGUUUAAAAGAAAAAACAAUUGAUUUGCAAUCGACAACUCUAAGUUUAAAUCUUAGAAUUUACA
rnacentral:tRNA from 1 species